AGAGUUUGAUCCUGGCUCAGAUUGAACGCUGGCGGCAUGCCUUACACAUGCAAGUCGAACGGCAGCGCGGGGCAACCUGGCGGCGAGUGGCGAACGGGUGAGUAAUAUAUCGGAACGUGCCCUGGAGUGGGGGAUAACGCAGCGAAAGUUGCGCUAAUACCGCAUACGAUCUAAGGAUGAAAGCAGGGGACCGCAAGGCCUUGUGCUCCUGGAGCGGCCGAUAUCUGAUUAGCUAGUUGGUGGGGUAAAGGCCUACCAAGGCAUCGAUCAGUAGCUGGUCUGAGAGGACGACCAGCCACACUGGAACUGAGACACGGUCCAGACUCCUACGGGAGGCAGCAGUGGGGAAUUUUGGACAAUGGGCGAAAGCCUGAUCCAGCAAUGCCGCGUGAGUGAAGAAGGC
rnacentral:rRNA from 1 species